AACGUAGGACACAAGCGUUAUCCGGAGUUACUGGGCGUAAAGGGUGCGUAGGCGGCUUGUUAAGUAGGGUGUGAAAUCCCACGGCUCAACCGUGGAAUUGCGCCCUAAACUGGCGAGCUGGAGUGAGAUAGGGGUGUGUGGAACUUCCGGUGGAGCGGUGAAAUGUGUUGAUAUCGGAAGGAACGCCAGUGGCGAAAGCGACACACUGGGUCUCAACUGACGCUGAGGCACGAAAGCCAGGGGAGCAAACGGG
rnacentral:rRNA from 1 species